CUAUGGCUACUAGAAAAGCCAGGCUGGCAAGUGACUUUCAGUGGUCACUCAGGACCCCUUCCUGCAGAUACAAACAAAGCAUGAGUAAGUCUUAGCAAGCUCUUCCCCACAGGUUAGGGGAAACACUGGUGAUGGGAGUAGCUCUUCUUGCUUUUAGCUGAAUGACAACCAUCUUGCCAGCAGGUAGCUGAAGCUGGCAGAGGAGCCCAGUGGCGCCUUUUCAGUGGUUCUUGGGAUGCUCCGCAGCCAAUUAAGCCGACUGAGUUCCUUUCCUCAUGGGGACCCAGUGUGCGAUGGCUGCACACAGCAGCUUCCUUGGUAGUGUACGCAGCCUGUUGGUUGUAUGGGUUGCUCUAAGGGA
rnacentral:lncRNA from 1 species